rnacentral:lncRNA from 1 species
CCAACGACCUGCACCUUGAGACUGUGAAGGCAAGUGGGGUGUGGGGGGAGGGGGAGGGGACCCCCACUGCCGUCCGGCUUACAGCCUGUCCGGACCCCAGCCUCUGACAGCCUGGCAAGGAGGAGGCGACUCAGUCGUACCCGUUCCAUGACAAAGGUGCACAGUGCCAUAGGACACCUGGCAAGGAGAGACAGCGACCCACGCGGGCCUGGCCAAGGGUACAAGGGCUCUUCGAAGACUCUUCCCCGGGUUCUCUGGAUGUGUACUGCGCCAGCCACUCCGAAGCCAACUUUUCAGGUGCCUGCUUGAUGGGAAGUUUUCACUCUGCGCGAUUUCCUUUAAGGCUGCUCACUUCUGUAAGGAAGGAGAGGAGGAGACUGGUUCAAAUCUCUGGAGGUUGGUGUGAAGAUCCACUUCCAAUGGCAGCUCUGGUGGUGUUGGAUUGCUGCUGACAACCACCCUUUACCAGUUUGCUCUUACCUGGGAACAUCCGUCGUCCCUCAGCUUGGUUGUACUUCUGCACAUUGUGAUAUUAAC